rnacentral:lncRNA from 1 species
CCCUCGCUCUCAGCGGCGGCCAGGUCCAGGCCCUGGUGACACAGCCUUGAGCAAAACAGUGAGGUCCCUGUCCUCACAGAGUUUGUAUUCUGGCCAGGGGAGAAGACGAUAGACAAGAACACAAACUCUGGCCUCUGUCACAGGGUCACUGUCCAGGGGUAGGGGUUGCCAUGCCCAGAACUCAGCAAGUGUUCAGCUGACUGCAGCCUCAUCUUCCUGCGAGGACUCAGAGCGGGGCAGGUGUUCUCUGAAGCCCAGAGAGGCUUUGCAACUUGCCCAGGGCCACAGAGCUAUGGAGCCUGUGACUGGAACCCGGAGCCAAGUCUAUGGCCUCUGCCUGGUGGCCACUGCCUCCAAAAACUCCCAGCUCCACAAGUCCCGCCCUCCACCUUGGCAGGGUUUGCCUGGUGUCCUACACACACAGUACUGGUCUUUUAGGGUCUAAACCUCUCUUUCUCCCCUCCUUCUGGAAUCUGUCUGGGGCCCCUGUGAAGAAGAAAAGGCUGCUGGGCCAGGACACUUCAUUCAUUCAUUCAUUCAUUCCUGACCUUUCUUACGUCCUCCGUGCUAGGCCUGAAGGAGGGUAGGAGUCUUGGUCCCUGCACACAGCGGGCUUUCCCUCUGGAGGUCGUGUCAGUCCACACACUUUAGUCUUCCGUCUUUUCUUCUUCACCAAGCAUCCUAUGUCUUUUCUUCUUCACCAAGCACCCUACCCUAAGCGCUCGCUCACUCCUGCCUUUAUUUCGGGUUUUCCCUGACAGUCUUCCACCUAACCCACUGCUUGUCCCCAGCUCUCUGCCUCUUGGCUGCUUCCAGUUCCCGCCAUUACUCACAAUGCUGUCACAUCAGCCAGGGUCUCAUGGGGAAACAGAUGGCUUCCGCAAAUUAGGGAAAUUCCAGGAGGGCGAUUUACAAAGGGGGAUGCUUAAGAAGGGAGGAAGGACCACUAGGGGAGGGCAGGACUCUGGGACCAGCAUUAGGGGGACUCUUUCCACCCUCAGAGUUGGAAGGAAGAGAAAGGGGAGCUCUCCAGCAAAGAAGAAAGUCCAGAGGAGUCCGGCCUGGAGGGCAGUGGUGUUGGUCAGAGGCAGGCCCAAAGAGGGAGGGGAUCCAUUCCUGCAUCGCUCCCUCUCCUGCCUUUGACCUCCCACAGGGGCACCUCCAACUGUGGCUGCAGCCCAUGGAGGUGGCCCCAAAAGGCAAAAGCAGGGUGAAGGAUGGAGCAUCAAUCUGGGAGGACGAAAGCUGGACACCCAGCACAGGUGUGCAGGAAACUUCUGCUCAAACACCUUUCUUCUUUGUAGGGGGUUUCUGUAGUAUGAGACAUCAAGUGAAUUCCUGAGCCAGAGCCUUCCUGGUUUGUAACAACUGCAUUUUAACAGGACCCCAAAAUACGUAUGUCACUACCCCACUGAAGGCCCUUCCAUAGCACCAUCAAUGGCUGUCAUGUAACAGCCACACCUGGUGGCCUCACCUGCAGUGCCCCAACUCUGCUCCCAGCAAGCCAGACUGCCAUGUUCUCCACAGCCCCUGUGGUCUGGGCUGUGGCUCUCCAAGGUCCCUCUCUUCCAUUCUAGGUGGAUCUGCUGACACUUGGUCUAUCCUUCAAGGCCUCCUCCGAUAGUGCAAAUGUAUUUCCAAAUACCACCACCUUAAGAGUUAGGAUUUCAACACGUGAAUUUGGGGAGAGCACAUUCAGUCCAUAACAAGCAGAGCCUCAUAAAUUGGAUUAAUGCCCUUAUAAAAGGGGCCUUAGAGAGACCCCUCACCCCUUCUGGCAUGUGUGGACACUGUCAAAAGGUGCUGUCGACCGGGCGCGGUGGCUAACGCCUGUAAUCCCAGCACUUUGGAAGGCUGAGGCGGGCGGAUCAUCUGAGGUCAGGAGUUCAAGACCAGUCUGGCCAACAUGACAAAACCCCGUCUCUACUAAAAACACAAAAAUUAGCCGGACAUGGUGGGCACCUGUAAUCCCAGCUACUCGGGAGGCUGAGGCAGGAGAAUCACUUGAACCCGGAAGCAAAGGUUGCAGUGAGCCAAGGUCGUGCUGCUGCACUCCAGCCUAGCGACAGAGCAAGACUCCAUCUC